CAGCCGCCGCGGGAAUACCGAGGGUGCGAGCGUUAAUCGGAUUUACUGGGCGUAAAGCGUGCGUAGGCGGCUUCUUAAGUCGGAUGUGAAAUCCCUGAGCUUAACUUAGGAAUUGCAUUCGAUACUGGGAAGCUAGAGUAUGGGAGAGGAUGGUAGAAUUCCAGGUGUAGCGGUGAAAUGCGUAGAGAUCUGGAGGAAUACCGAUGGCGAAGGCAGCCAUCUGGCCUAAUACUGACGCUGAGGUACGAAAGCAUGGGGAGCAAACAGGAUUAGAUACCCCAGUAGUCCCUGUCUCUUAUAC
rnacentral:rRNA from 1 species